CAGCCAUCCUUUAAAGAAAGCGUAACAGCUCACUGGUCUAAUUAAGAGAUCCUGCACCGAAAAUGUAACGGGGCUCAAAUCAUUUACCGAAGCUUUGACAAUUACUUUUAGUAAUUGGGUAGCGGAGCGUUCUGUAAGCCUGUGAAGGUGAUGCGUAAGCAUUGCUGGAGGUAUCAGAAGUGCGAAUGCUGACAUGAGUAACGAUAAGAAAUGUGAAAGACAUUUCCGCCGAAAUCCUAAGGUUUCCUGCGUAAAGCUAAUCUGCGCAGGGUUAGUCGGCCCCUAAGGCGAGGGCGAAAGCCGUAGUCGAUGGGAAGCAGGUUAAUAUUCCUGCACCAGCUGGUAGUGACGGAUGAAGUAAAUUGUGAGUUCUUACUGGAUUGAACUUGCAGUGAAUUUGUCCCUGGAAAUAGCUCCAGCAUUAGACCGUACCAAAACCGACACAGGUAGGAGGGUAGAGUAUACCAAGGCGCUUGAGAGAACUAUGUUGAAGGAACUCGGCAAAUUACACUUGUAACUUCGGGAUAAAAGUGACCUGCUAUUGGGCAACCAGUAGGAGGUGGCACAGAAGAGGGGGUAGCGACUGUUUACUAAAAACAUAGCACUAUGCAAAGUCGAAAGACGACGUAUAUGGUGUGACGCCUGCCCGGUGCCGGAAGGUUAAUAGGAGGGGUGCAAGCCCUGAAUUGAAGCCCCGGUGAACGGCGGCCGUAACUAUAACGGUCCUAAGGUAGCGAAAUUCCUUGUCGGGUAAGUUCCGACCUGCACGAAUGGCGUAACGAUUUCCCCACUGUCUCCAACAUAGACUCAGUGAAAUUGAAUUCUCGGUUAAGAUGCCGAGUAACCGUGGUUAGACGGAAAGACCCCGUGCACCUUUACUGCAGCUUUGUAUUGGUAUUAGGGAACAGAUGUGUAGCAUAGGUGGGAGACUUUGAAGGAGUGGCGCUAGCCAUUCUGGAGUCACUAGUGAAAUACCACUCUUCUGUUCCUUGAUGCCUAACCAUACACCGUUAUCCGGUGUUGGGACCAUGCAUGGUGGGCAGUUUGACUGGGGCGGUCGCCUCCCAAAGAGUAACGGAGGCGCGCGAUGGUAGGCUCAGAACGCUUGGAAACCGUUCGUCGAGUGCAAUGGCAUAAGCCUGCCUGACUGCGAGACCCACAAGUCGAGCAGAGACGAAAGUCGGUCAUAGUGAUCCGGUGGCACUUCGUGGAAGGGCCAUCGCUCAACGGAUAAAAGGUACGCCGGGGAUAA
rnacentral:rRNA from 1 species